rnacentral:rRNA from 1 species
GGAUUAGAUACCCUGGUAGUCCACGCCCUAAACGAUGCUAACUGGAUAUUCGCCCUAUGGGUGAGUGUCUGAGGGAAACUAUUAAGUUAGCCACCUGGGGAGUACGUCGUCAACGAUGAAACUCAAAGGAAUUGACGGGGGCCCGCACAAGCGGUGGAGCAUGUGGUUUAAUUCGAUGAUACGCGAGGAACCUUACCAGGGCUUAAAUGUAAGUUGCAUGGAUCAGAGAUGAUCCUUUCUUCGGACCACUUACAAGGUGCUGCAUGGUUGUCGUCAGCUCGUGUUG